UACGUAGGGUGCGAGCGUUAAUCGGAAUUACUGGGCGUAAAGCGUGCGCAGGCGGUUUCACAAGCUCGAUGUGAAAGCCCCGGGCUUAACCUGGGAAUGGCAUUGAGGACUGUGGAGCUCGAGUGCGGCAGAGGGAGGUGGAAUUCCACGUGUAGCAGUGAAAUGCGUAGAGAUGUGGAGGAACACCGAUGGCGAAGGCAGCCUCCUGGGCCGACACUGACGCUCAUGCACGAAAGCGUGGGAGCAAACAGG
rnacentral:rRNA from 1 species